rnacentral:tRNA from 1 species
CUCUCCUUAGCUCAGAAGGAUAGAGCAACAGCCUUCUAAGCUGUGGGUCACUGGUUCGAAUCCAGUAGGAGAGA